rnacentral:lncRNA from 1 species
UAUGAUGCUAGAUUUCAUCCCCUCACCCCGUGUUUCCUAAAAGAAUUUAUUUUUUUUGGUCUUACCUAAGCUGUUAUCUGUUUCUUUUCUACUCCAUAAUUUCACAUGUAAAUCAGCCAUUGCACAAAGACAACCCACAUUGUAAUUAGCUUUUCCAUUGCUGUAGACCACAUUUUCUGGCCGUGUCAAUUUGAUUUUGGUUAGUUGGGUAAUGCAACUGCGCUGUUCAUGGCACUCUAAACUUUUCUGCUUCUGAACUGAUUCAGCCUCGCUCAGCUAUUGAAAUAUUGAAAUCUGAUGAGAUCAGGCUACCAAGUGGUAAUUCUGUUCCAGUUGUUACAGGUCUGAGUCCAGACUGAAGAGGUGAGGGAUCUGAUUUGACGGCAUCGACUAGUCAGCUGGAGAUGAAGUAGCUGCAUUUCCUGUGCAGAAGAGCGGUUUCUAUUGAACAGUGAGAAGAAGGAUGUGACAGAUGGGUAGACUUGAAGAUCUCCUCUCUUGUGGAAACAUCCUGUACUUUGGGCCCCUUGGACAGAGGAAAGUGUCAGGAUUGCUGGCUGGUGGAAGAGUACAAAAUACAGGUAGGAUUAUCUCUGCUCUCCCAGGACACACCCCGUGUUGUACAGUACAGGGUUCU